rnacentral:rRNA from 1 species
UACGAAGGGUGCAAGCGUUACUCGGAAUUACUGGGCGUAAAGCGUGCGUAGGUGGAUUGUUAAGUCCGAUGUGAAAGCCCUGGGCUCAACCUGGGAAUGGCAUUGGAUACUGGCAGGCUAGAGUGCGGUAGAGGGCAGUGGAAUUCCCGGUGUAGCAGUGAAAUGCGUAGAGAUCGGGAGGAACAUCUGUGGCGAAGGCGACUGCCUGGACCAGCACUGACACUGAGGCACGAAAGCGUGGGGAGCAAACAGG